rnacentral:rRNA from 1 species
AUUGAACGCUGGCGGCGUGCCUAAUACAUGCAAGUCGAGCGAAGCGGCGGAUGGGUGAGUAACGCGUGGGUAACCUGCCCUUAAGUCUGGGAUACCAUUUGGAAACAGAUGCUAAUACCGGAUACUAAAGGAUGGACCUGCGAUGCAUUAGCUAGUUGGUAAGGUAACGGCUUACCAAGGCGAUGAUGCAUAGCCGAAUUGGGAGACGAAGAGGCCUCAAUGGGACGGAGACACGGCACAAACUCCUACGGGAGGCAGCAGUAGGGAAUCGUCCACAAUGGACGAAAGUCUGAUGGAGCAAUGCCGCGUGAGUGAAGAAGGUUUUCGGAUCGUAAAGCUCUGUUGUUGGUGAAGCGGUAAUCAACCAGAAAGUCACGGCUAACUACGUGCCAGCAGCCGCGGUAAUAC